UGGUGGAGUGAUUUGUCUGGUUAAUUCCGUUAACGAACGAGACCUUAACUUACUAAAUAGUUAUACAUAAAUCUUUUUAUGUGGGCGACUUCUUAGAGGGACUUUGUGUGUCUAACACAAGGAAGUUUGAGGCAAUAACA
rnacentral:rRNA from 1 species